AGAGUUUGAUCCUGGCUCAGGAUGAACGCUGGCGGCAUGCCUAAUACAUGCAAGUCGAACGAGAGGAAGGAAAGCUUGCUUUUCUGAAUCUAGUGGCGAACGGGUGAGUAACACGUAGGUAACCUGCCCAUGUGCCCGGGAUAACUUCUGGAAACGGAUGCUAAAACCGGAUAGGUAGCAGACAAGCAUUUGACUGCUAUUAAAGUGGCCUUGGCCAUGAACAUGGAUGGACCUGCGGUGCAUUAGCUGGUUGGUGAGGUAACGGCCCACCAAGGCGACGAUGCAUAGCCGGCCUGAGAGGGCGGACGGCCACAUUGGGACUGAGACACGGCCCAAACUCCUACGGGAGGCAGCAGUAGGGAAUUUUCGUCAAUGGGGGGAACCCUGAACGAGCAAUGCCGCGUGAGUGAGGAAGGUCUUCGGAUCGUAAAGCUCUGUUGUAAGAGAAAAACGGCACUCAUAGGGAAUGAUGAGUGAGUGAUGGUAUCUUACCAGAAAGUCACGGCUAACUACGUGCCAGCAGCCGCGGUAAUACGUAGGUGGCGAGCGUUAUCCGGAAUGAUUGGGCGUAAAGGGUGCGUAGGUGGCAGAUCAAGUCUGGAGUAAAAGGUAUGGGCUCAACCCGUACUGGCUCUGGAAACUGAUCAGCUAGAGAACAGAAGAGGACGGCGGAACUCCAUGUGUAGCGGUAAAAUGCGUAGAUAUAUGGAAGAACACCGGUGGCGAAGGCGGCCGUCUGGUCUGGAUUCUGACACUGAAGCACGAAAGCGUGGGGAGCAAAUAGGAUUAGAUACCCUAGUAGUCCACGCCGUAAACGAUGAGAACUAGGUGUUGGGGGAAUAACUCAGUGCCGCAGUUAACGCAGUAAGUUCUCCGCCUGGGGAGUAUGCACGCAAGUGUGAAACUCAAAGGAAUUGACGGGGGCCCGCACAAGCGGUGGAGUAUGUGGUUUAAUUCGACGCAACGCGAAGAACCUUACCAAGGCUUGACAUUGAAUGACCGCUUCAGAGAUGAAGCUUUCCCUUCGGGGACAUGAAAACAGGUGGUGCAUGGCUGUCGUCAGCUCGUGUCGUGAGAUGUUGGGUUAAGUCCCGCAACGAGCGCAACCC
rnacentral:rRNA from 1 species